UUUAGAGGUAUUAGAACAUUCAACAUUUCUCAAAUAGCUUAAGGCACAGUUUGUAUAAUUUUACUUAGUUUAUGUGUAUGUCUCUGUAUAUGAGUGGAUGGGUACCUGAAGAGGCCAGUUAGAGGGCUGGAAUCCUUGGUUCUGGAAUUACAGGUUGUGAGCUGCUUGAUAGGGUUCUGGGAUCCAAACUCAGGUCUUCUGGGAGAACAGCAAGCACCCUUAACCACUGAGCCAUUUCUCCAGCCCCCUAAUUUCAUAUGGUUGAACUUGGUACUUAGGAGUCUUAGUGUGGUAGAACAUGAAAGCAUGAUGUUGUCUUUAAGGUCUGGUUGUCAGGUGAUGAAGUUUUCAAAGAACAGACCUUAUGUGUGGAAUGUUUUGUUUUUAUAUUUUAUACCUUCCCAUUCCCCAACACUGUGGCUCAGAAAUUUUUAGUUCAUGUAUCUUAUCAUUUGCUAAUAUUUUAAUCCCUUUAAAUUUAACAUUUUAAAAUUUAAUUAAUAAUUUAAUUUAAAUUUAUUUAAUUUAAGUAAUUUAAUUAUAAUUUAUAAUUUAAUUAUCAUUUGCUAAAAUUUAAUCUUUUAAAAUUUAAUUAAUUUAAUCUUUUAUUUAGGCUUCUUUAAUGUUAAAUUAACUUAAAGAAUAAAAUAAAAUAGUACAUGGAUAUAGUUUUGUAAAACAUAUCAUCUUAUGGUACUACAACAAAAUACCAUAGACUGGGCAGUUUAAGUUAUUUCUUAUAUCGGUUUGGAAGCGGAGAAGUUUCUAGAUUGAGGUUCUGGCUUAUGGGUUCCUGGUGAAGACUCCUCCUGGAUUGCAGCUGAAACAUUCUCACCAAAGCCUUCUCCGUGCCACAUUUUGAUAGCAAAGAUUUAGAAACCCUUUGUCUCUUUAAGGGCAUGGUCUUUGUAGGAUGUGGGGCCAUGCCCUUAUGACUUCAUGGAAUUUUAAUUAUUUCCUUACUUCAGUUAUAGCUAUACUGGGAGACAAGACAUGUUCAGUCAACGUACAGUAAAUUUGGAGAGGUUCCUUGGUGAAUUUGUGACUUAGUAUUUUGUAGGAGUGAGUGACGUUAGAUGUGCAUUAUACUGUACUUCAGUCUAGACCUGCAGGUAUAUGUGAAUCAUUUGAGUCCUUACUUCUCUUGUUGACAGUUGGUUAACUAGAGAAGCUGUUUACAAUGGAGAUAAAAUUUAAAAAUGUAUUAGCCACUCUAAUAGUGUCUUAAAAGAUUGGUUUACUUUAUUUUAUACUUGUCAGUGCUUUACUUCAUUGUAUGUUUGUAUACCACAUGAUACAGUGCUUGUGGAGACCAGAAGAUAGUAUUGGAUUCCCUAGAACCAAAGGUUUAGGUGGUUGUCAGCUACCAUGUGGGUGAUGGAAGCUGAACCUUGGUUCUUUUGUAAGAGGAGCAAGCAUGCUUAACUGCUUGACAUCAAUUCAGCCUCUGGUAGUGUCUAGAGCCUGCUUUACUUACUUGAAUUCUGUCCCCCCUAAUUCCAGGUCCUAAUAUGGUUUGAUUCCUUUAAGAACUAUCUCUAAUUCAGUGGUGAUUUAUUAAAAUCAUACUUUUUAGCUAAUAUGUUAAAGCCAUAUAGUUUUUUAAAGUGACUAAAGUGUCAUAGAAUAGACUUUGGAACAAAAAAAAAUCUGAACUGACUUUAGAGUAUAAGUACCUCCCCAUUUUAGGUUCUUUCUGAGUUUAUAUUGCUGGGGUUGAAGAAGUACUUUCAGCUGGUUUCCCAGAGUACUUACGUUGAUAUUCUUUCCCACAGGCCAGCCCUCCAGACCUCUAUAUUGAAAGAUUUAAUAUAGCUCUGGGACAGUAUAUGGGAGCAUUGCAGAGCAUCGUGCCUCUUUUCAUAUAUAUGAAUAAGUUUUACAUAGAAACUAAGCUUAACAGAGACUUAAAAGAUGACCUUAUAAAACUGUUUACGGAACAUGUUGC
rnacentral:lncRNA from 1 species